rnacentral:rRNA from 1 species
AUUGAACGCUGGCGGCAUGCUUUACACAUGCAAGUCGAACGGCAGCGGGGAGGAGCUUGCUUCUCUGCCGGCGAGUGGCGAACGGGUGAGUAAUACAUCGGAACGUGUCGAGAAGAGGGGGAUAACCACCCGAAAGGGUGGCUAAUACCGCAUAAAUUCUGAGGAAGAAAGCUGGGGACCUAGGAAUAGGCCUAGCGCUUUUUGAGCGGCCGAUGUCGGAUUAGCUAGUUGGUGAGGUAAAGGCUCACCAAGGCGAAGAUCUGUAGCGGGUCUGAGAGGAUGAUCCGCCACACUGGGACUGAGACACGGCCCAGACUCCUACGGGAGGCAGCAGUGGGGAAUUUUGGACAAUGGGGGCAACCCUGAUCCAGCCAUGCCGCGUGUAUGAAGAAGGCCUUAGGGUUGUAAAGUACUUUUGUUAGGGAAGAAAAGUCAGCUGUGAAUAAUGGCUGAUACUGACGGUACCUAAAGAAUAAGCACCGGCGAACUACGU